rnacentral:rRNA from 1 species
CACAGGUGCUGCAUGGCUGUCGUCAGCUCGUGUCGUGAGAUGUCGGUUAAGUCCGCUAACGAGCGCAACCCUCGCUGUGUGUUAUAUGUGUCGACACGGGACUGCCGGUCUUAAGCCGGAGGAAGGUGGGGAUGAUGUCAAGUCAGCAUGGCCUUUAUAUCCUGGGCUACACACACGCUACAAUGGCCAACACAAUAGGUUGCUAAGCCGCGAGGUGGCGCCAAUCCAUAAAGUUGGUCUCAGUUCAGAUUGUAGGCUGCAACCCGCCUGCAUGAAGAUGGAGUUGCUAGUAACCGCAGGUCAGCUAUACUGCGGUGAAUACGUUCCCGGGGCUU